rnacentral:rRNA from 1 species
AAGAGACAGCAGCAGCCACGGUAAUACAGAGGGUGCGAGCGUUAAUCGGAUUUACUGGGCGUAAAGCGUGCGUAGGCGGCUUCUUAAGUCGGAUGUGAAAUCCCUGAGCUUAACUUAGGAAUUGCAUUCGAUACUGGGAAGCUAGAGUAUGGGAGAGGAUGGUAGAAUUCCAGGUGUAGCGGUGAAAUGCGUAGAGAUCUGGAGGAAUACCGAUGGCGAAGGCAGCCAUCUGGCCUAACACUGACGCUGAGGUACGAAAGCAUGGGGAGCAAACAGGAUUAGAUACCCGCGUAGUCCCUGUCUCUUAUAC